GACGAACGCUGGCGGCGUGCUUAACACAUGCAAGUCGAACGGAAAGGCCCCUUUGGGGGUACUCGAGUGGCGAACGGGUGAGUAACACGUGAGUAACCUGCCCUUGACUUCGGGAUAACUUCAGGAAACUGGGGCUAAUACCGGAUAGGAAUCCUUGCUGCAUGGUGGGGGUUGGAAAGCUUCGGCGGUUUUGGAUGGACUCGCGGCUUAUCAGCUUGUUGGUGGGGUAGUGGCUUACCAAGGCUUUUACGGGUAGCCGGCCUGAGAGGGCGACCGGCCACAUUGGGACUGAGAUACGGCCCAGACUCCUACGGGAGGCAGCAGUGGGGAAUAUUGCACAAUGGGCGGAAGCCUGAUGCAGCAACGCCGCGUGCGGGAUGACGGCCUUCGGGUUGUAAACCGCUUUCAGCAGGGGCGAAGCUUGUGGUGACGGUACCUGCAGAAGAAGCACCGGCUAACUACGUG
rnacentral:rRNA from 1 species